rnacentral:rRNA from 1 species
UACGUAGGGGGCGAGCGUUGUCCGGAUUUAUUGGGCGUAAAGAGCGUGUAGGCGGCCCGGUAAGUCCGCUGUGAAAGUCGGGGGGCUCAACCCUCGAAUGCCGGUGGAUACUGUCGGGCUAGAGUGCGGAAGAGGCGAGUGGAAUUCCUGGUGUAGCGGUGAAAUGCGCAGAUAUCAGGAGGAACACCAAUUGCGAAGGCAGCUCGCUGGGACGUAACUGACGCUGAGACGCGAAAGCGUGGGGAGCAAACAGG